GAUGAACGCUGGCGGCGUGCCUAAUACAUGCAAGUCGAGCGAACAGACGAGGCGCUUGCUCCUCUGACGUUAGCGGCGGACGGGUGAGUAACACGUGGAUAACCUACCUAUAAGACUGGGAUAACUUCGGGAAACCGGAGCUAAUCCCGGAUAAUAUAUUGAACCGCAUGGUUCAAUAGUGAAAGACGGUUUUGCUGUCACUUAUAGAUGGAUCCGCGCCGCAUUAGCUAGUUGGUAAGGUAACGGCUUACCAAGGCGACGAUGCGUAGCUGACCUGAGAGGGUGAUCGGCCACACUGGAACUGAGACACGGUCCAGACUCCUACGGGAGGCAGCAGUAGGGAAUCUUCCGCAAUGGGCGAAAGCCUGACGGAGCAACGCCGCGUGAGUGAUGAAGGUCUUCGGAUCGUAAAACUCUGUUAUUAGGGAAGAACAAAUGUGUAAGUAACUAUGCACGUCUUGACGGUACCUAAUCAGAAAGCCACGGCUAACUACGUG
rnacentral:rRNA from 1 species